GCGGCUGUGAUGGAAUAGAAGACAUACGGGCUCCAGAGGCCCGCGCAGCGAAAGCUCACCUGUGGGUUCAAGUCCCACUGGCCGCAC
rnacentral:tRNA from 1 species